rnacentral:lncRNA from 1 species
CCCCUUUCGAGCGACGACGGAGCACGAGCAGGUGAGGGGUGGCGCGCCUCUCAUCGGAGGGCUACAACCGCGACAAAGGAGAAGGCGCACGCCGUGCGCGCGUGCUCGGAUAAGGGAGGCCACCCUUGCUGUGCUCGUCGGCGUUGAUGGAGGAUGGAAGGGGGACAGUUUCGCGUGGGUACGUCGGCCACCAGCACCGGCCACGACCAGGUGGCUAUCAGCAGGACGAUACAAUAAGCUAAUUCGUCACCCUCCUUGCCCCCUUCUCCGCCAUCAACCCCGUACAAACGCGGUGACCGACCGAUUCAUCCCUCCUGCUUCAUGUCUGCCCCGAUACCUUCAUCGUCUCAAGAUCUGGCGGUCCUAAUUUUCCUAGCGAGAACAUGCAUGUGGUGGAUGCAGCACGGCAGAUAAGUGCAUCGAUGUCGUUGCUCGCGUGGCGGCGGAUCCACUUUGUGCUCCAGCCGUUGAUCAUGCUCCUAGACGACGAAUCUUCCCAUGCUCCAGCCGUUGGUCUUGCUCCUGCUCUUCCACAGGCCCUGGCCUGGCGCGAGCCCGCCAUACGACACGCUCGGUAGUCGGGACGUGAGUACGAGGCUACGAGCUCAUCUCCAUCGCGCAUAGUGGGACUCUCCUCGUGCAGUACCGAUGGCACACACCCUUUCCUCGACAUCAAGCCAAGGUGAGAGAAAUUCACCUCAAGAAAGCCCACGUGAGAUGGUGAGAGAGACUCUUAUGCAGGGAGCUUGUUGUUGUUUUGUUUGUCUCUGUUUCUUAAUCAACUAUGAAUUUUCCUGGCCGGUAGCUAAUACUCCAACUGGGUACCAAUACCAUUGAUUGAUUUGACACAGUAGAAGGUAUGAUAAUUUGGCUGGAC